rnacentral:rRNA from 1 species
UAGGGUCUCAGCGACGACGGGUAGCCGACCUGAGAGGGUGACCGGCCACACUGGGACUGAGACACGGCCCAGACUCCUACGGGAGGCAGCAGUGGGGAAUAUUGCACAAUGGGCGAAAGCCUGAUGCAGCGACGCCGCGUGAGGGAUGACGGCCUUCGGGUUGUAAACCUCUUUCAGCAGGGACGAAGCGCAAGUGACGGUACCUGCAGAAGAAGCACCGGCUAACUACGUGCCAGCAGCCGCGGUAAUACGUAGGGUGCAAGCGUUGUCCGGAAUUACUGGGCGUAAAGAGUUCGUAGGCGGUUUGUCGCGUCGUUUGUGAAAACCAGCAGCUCAACUGCUGGCUUGCAGGCGAUACGGGCAGACUUGAGUACUGCAGGGGAGACUGGAAUUCCUGGUGUAGCGGUGAAAUGCGCAGAUAUCAGGAGGAACACCGGUGGCGAAGGCGGGUCUCUGGGCAGUAACUGACGCUGAGGAACGAAAGCGUGGGUAGCGAACAGGAUUAGAUACCCUGGUAGUCCACGCCGUAAACGGUGGGCGCUAGGUGUGGGUUCCUUCCACGGAAUCCGUGCCGUAGCUAACGCAUUAAGCGCCCCGCCUGGGGAAGUACGGG